ACGGUGAUGGGGAGCUUGCUUCUCUGAUCAGUGGCGAACGGGUGAGUAACACGUGAGCAAUCUGCCCUUGACUCUGGGAUAAGCGUUGGAAACGACGUCUAAUACCGGAUACGACCUUGGAAGGCAUCUUCUGGGGUGGAAAGAAUUUUGGUCAAGGAUGAGCUCGCGGCCUAUCAGCUAGUUGGUGAGGUAAUGGCUCACCAAGGCGACGACGGGUAGCCGGCCUGAGAGGGUGACCGGCCACACUGGGACUGAGACACGGCCCAGACUCCUACGGGAGGCAGCAGUGGGGAAUAUUGCACAAUGGGCGAAAGCCUGAUGCAGCAACGCCGCGUGAGGGACGACGGCCUUCGGGUUGUAAACCUCUUUUAGUAGGGAAGAAGCGUAAAAGUGACGGUACCUGCAGAAAAAGCACCGGCUAACUACGUGCCAGCAGCCGCGGUAAUACGUAGGGUGCAAGCGUUGUCCGGAAUUAUUGGGCGUAAAGAGCUCGUAGGCGGUUUGUCGCGUCUGCUGUGAAAACCCGAGGCUCAACCUCGGGCCUGCAGUGGGUACGGGCAGACUAGAGUGCGGUAGGGGAGAUUGGAAUUCCUGGUGUAGCGGUGGAAUGCGCAGAUAUCAGGAGGAACACCAAUGGCGAAGGCAGAUCUCUGGGCCGUAACUGACGCUGAGGAGCGAAAGCAUGGGGAGCGAACAGGAUUAGAUACCCUGGUAGUCCAUGCCGUAAACGUUGGGAACUAGAUGUGGGGACCAUUCCACGGUCUCCGUGUCGCAGCUAACGCAUUAAGUUCCCCGCCUGGGGAGUACGGCCGCAAGGCUAAAACUCAAAGGAAUUGACGGGGGCCCGCACAAGCGGCGGAGCAUGCGGAUUAAUUCGAUGCAACGCGAAGAACCUUACCAAGGCUUGACAUAUAGAGGAAAC
rnacentral:rRNA from 1 species